AGUGAACGCUGGCGGUAGGCCUAACACAUGCAAGUCGAACGGCAGCACAGUAAGAGCUUGCUCUUACGGGUGGCGAGUGGCGGACGGGUGAGGAAUACAUCGGAAUCUACUUUUUCGUGGGGGAUAACGUAGGGAAACUUACGCUAAUACCGCAUACGACCUACGGGUGAAAGCAGGGGAUCUUCGGACCUUGCGCGAUUGAAUGAGCCGAUGUCGGAUUAGCUAGUUGGCGGGGUAAAGGCCCACCAAGGCGACGAUCCGUAGCUGGUCUGAGAGGAUGAUCAGCCACACUGGAACUGAGACACGGUCCAGACUCCUACGGGAGGCAGCAGUGGGGAAUAUUCGGCAAUGGGCGCAAGCCUGACGGAGCAACACCGCGUGGGUGAUGAAGGUCUUCGGGUCGUAAAACCCUUUUAUUGGGGAAGAACAAAAGUGUAAGAAAAUCCGCACGUUUUGACGGUACCCAAUCAAAAAGCACCGGCUAACUACGUG
rnacentral:rRNA from 1 species